rnacentral:snRNA from 1 species
UUUCUCAUGUGUAUAGGGAGAC